UGCAGCAGCACUACCUCCCUCUACUGCUAAACUAGUUAGUUUUAGUUUACUGGUGUUAUUGAACUAUCAAACACAGCCUCCUCUGUCUCUCUAUCUAUGUUAAGAAAGUGGCAGAGUGGUUUGCAAUCUGAGCUGAGAUGGUAUAUAAUCCAAUAUAACUGCAUUUUGGAGUGGCACUCACUUGAAGGGAAUUUGGUGGUAGAAAUUAAAUCAAAAGCUCUGAUGUGACAGCAAAUGACGUUGUUGAUUGUGAUCCACACUGGAUGUCGAACUGGUCAAUUGCUCUAUGUGGUGGUGUUGCUGCUCUCGGCAAUCCACGUGUGUUCUUGUAAUUUGCCUUCAUUUUCCAAUUGUAACUUUGUUCCUCCUGUGUAUUGAGAAAAUAAUAAUAAUAAAUCUUUAUAGUGA